GAUGAACGCUAGCGAUAGGCCUAACACAUGCAAGUCGAGGGGCAUCACAUGAAGUAGCAAUACGGAUGGUGGCGACCGGCGCACGGGUGAGUAACACGUAUGCAACCUGCCUUCAACAAGGGGAUAACCCGUUGAAAGACGGACUAAUACCCUAUAACACAGGGGUCCCGCAUGGGAAUAUUUGUUAAAGGACAACCGGUUGAAGAUGGGCAUGCGUUCCAUUAGCUAGUUGGCGGGGUAACGGCCCACCAAGGCAACGAUGGAUAGGGGAACUGAGAGGUUUAUCCCCCACACUGGUACUGAGACACGGACCAGACUCCUACGGGAGGCAGCAGUGAGGAAUAUUGGUCAAUGGACGCAAGUCUGAACCAGCCACGUCGCGUGAAGGAAGACGGCCCUACGGGUUGUAAACUUCUUUUAUACGGGAAUAAAGUGCCCCACGCGUGGGGUUUUGCAUGUACCGUAUGAAUAAGGAUCGGCUAACUCCGUG
rnacentral:rRNA from 1 species